AAUCUCUUUUCCCCAUUCAGUCUUGUCCUCGUAGCCACAGCUAAUAACAUGAAUUGCUUCUUUCAAAAGAGAUGCAGGAUUAGUGGAUGCAGGAAUGCCUCCUUGUUCCAUAAAUGUGGCAGCAAUAAACACUGGUGAUUGACCAAAUCGCUUCUCCAAGCUCCUCUGUGACAUAAGCAGUGACUUCUCCUCAUCAUAUCCUUCUACGCCUUCUUCAAUGUCUUCCAUAUUGAAAAUUGGGACAGUGGAUUCUGUUCUUUUUACUGCCCUCUUCUUAUCAAUGUAUUUCUUGUUUCCACUCCUUCCCUUCUUCCUUGACCCACCACAACAGCUCUUAACAAUGAUGUUUGGCUCCAAAUCAGCCUCAGUUAAUACAGGAUCAUACCCGUAAAGGGCCUGCCUGUUAAAACAACACCCAGUUCCCACAUACAUAGGACCCUGAAGGCCAUCCAACCCUUUCAAGUUGAUAUCAAAGAA
rnacentral:misc_RNA from 1 species